rnacentral:rRNA from 1 species
UACGAAGGGGGCUAGCGUUGUUCGGAAUUACUGGGCGUAAAGCGCACGUAGGCGGAUAUUUAAGUCAGGGGUGAAAUCCCAGAGCUCAACUCUGGAACUGCCUUUGAUACUGGGUAUCUUGAGUAUGGAAGAGGUAAGUGGAAUUGCGAGUGUAGAGGUGAAAUUCGUAGAUAUUAGGAAGAACACCAGUGGCGAAGGCGGCUUACUGGUCCGGAACUGACGCUGAGGUGCGAAAGCGUGGGGAGCAAACAGG